UGCCAGACUCCUACGGGAGGCAGCAGUGGGGGAUAUUGCACAAUGGGGGAAACCCUGAUGCAGCGACGCCGCGUGGGUGAAGAAGCGCCUCGGCGCGUAAAGCCCUGUCAGCAGGGAAGAAAAUGACGGUACCUGAUUAAGAAGCCCCGGCUAACUACGUGCCAGCAGCCGCGGUAAUACGUAGGGGGCGAGCGUUAUCCGGAAUUACUGGGUGUAAAGGGAGCGUAGACGGCGAGGUAAGCCUGAAGUGGAAGCCCGCGGCCCAACCGCGGAACUGCUUUGGGAACUGUUUUGCUGGAGUAUGGGAGGGGUAAGCGGAAUUCCUGGUGUAGCGGUGAAAUGCGUAGAUAUUAGGAGGAACACCAGUGGCGAAGGCGGCUUACUGGACAGUAACUGACGUUGAGGCUCGAAAGCGUGGGGAGCAAACAGGAUUAGAUACCCUAGUAA
rnacentral:rRNA from 1 species